rnacentral:rRNA from 1 species
UAGAGUUUGAUCCUGGCUCAGAACGAACGCUGGCGGCAGGCCUCAAACAUGCAAGUCUAGGGGGUGUAGCAAUACAUCACCGGCGGACGGGUGCGUAACACGUGGGAAUAUACCUUUCGGUACGGAACAACUGAGGGAAACUUCAGCUAAUACCGUAUACGUCCUAACGGAGAAAGAUUUAUCGCCGAAGGAUUAGCCCGCGCUCGAUUAGCUAGUUGGUGAGGUAAUGGCUCACCAAGGCUACGAUCGAUAGCUGUUCUGAGAGGAAGAUCAGCCACACUGGGACUGAGACACGGCCCAGACUCCUACGGGAGGCAGCAGUUGGGAAUCUUGGACAAUGGGGGAAACCCUGAUCCAGCCAUGCCGCGUGAGUGAUGAAGGCCUUCGGGUUGUAAAGCUCUUUUACCCGGGAAGAUAAUGACUGUACCGGGAGAAUAAGCUCCGGCUAACUUCGUGCCAGCAGCCGCGGUAGCCCA